rnacentral:tRNA from 1 species
ACCUGGCUGGUUCAAUCAGUAGAGCACGGGACUCUUGAUCUUGGGGUCAUGAGUUUGAGCCCUAUGUUGGGUA